rnacentral:misc_RNA from 1 species
UGUCUUUUACGAUAUUACACUGGCUCUCCAAACAUUAAGUAUUGGCAUCUUCUCAGUGGAGAUUGGGAGGCACAUGAUUCAUGACCGGGAAUGGGAAGUGUAUAGAAUACUGCUUGAUGAAGGGGAUGGAUUUACUGUUUCCAGGAACAAGAUUGAAGAGGGUGUUAAAAAAAAUACUAAUGGGUUGNNNNNNNNNNNUUAGAAUUGGAUACUUAUUUCAAAUAGAUAUGGUAAGGUCUUUGAUUUCCUAGCACUGGAG